rnacentral:rRNA from 1 species
UGCAUCAGCCUUCCCACGCCCGAUCUCAUCUGAUCUCGGAAGCUAAGCAGGGUCGGGCCUGGUUAGUACUUGGAUGGGAGAAUAUGUAUCAAUCCUAGUAAGACUGCAU